rnacentral:rRNA from 1 species
UACGGAGGGGGCUAGCGUUGUUCGGAAUUACUGGGCGUAAAGCGCACGUAGGCGGCUUUGCAAGUUAGAGGUGAAAGCCCGGGGCUCAACUCCGGAAUUGCCUUUAAAACUGCAUCGCUAGAAUUGUGGAGAGGUAAGUGGAAUUCCGAGUGUAGAGGUGAAAUUCGUAGAUAUCGGGAGGAACACCUGUGGCGAAAGCGGCGCACUGGACCAUAACUGACGCUGAGGCGCGAAAGCUAGGGGAGCAAACAGG